rnacentral:rRNA from 1 species
GGUGGAUGCCUUGGCGCCAGGAGCCGAUGAAGGACGUAGGAGGCUGCGAUAAGCCUCGGGGAGCUGUC